rfam:Oryza nivara chromosome 1, whole genome shotgun sequence.
AAUAAACACAGUGAUGAUUUUCCGUGUCUAACUUUAAUCGUCCGUCUUAUUUAAUUUUUUUUAAAAAAACUAAAAAACAUAAGUCGCGCAUAAAGUAUUAUUCAUAUUUUAUAAUCCAAUAACAAUAAAAAUACGAUUCAUAAAAAAUCUCAAAUAAGACGGAUGAAAUUUAUAGAUGCGUUAUUUUGAGACUGAGGUAGUA